AACUUUUGGCAAUGGAUCACUUGGUUCUGGCAUCGAUGAAGAACGCAGCGAAAUGCGAUAAGUAAUGUGAAUUGCAGAAUUCAGUGAAUCAUCGAACCUUUGAACGCACAUUGCGCCCGGUGGUAUUCCGCCGGGCAUGCCUGUUCGAGCGUCAUUUAACCCAAUCCAGCCUUGUGCUUGGGUCUUGGGCCUUUCGCCUCUGGGCGGGCCCCAAAAUCAGUGGCGGUGCCCUCUGGCUCUAAGCGUAGUAAUACUCCUCGCUAUAGACGUUAGGUGGUGUCUUGCCAAUAACCCCCAAUUUUUUAAGGUUGACCUCGGAUCAGGUAGGGAUACCCGCUGAACUUAAGCAUAUCAAUAAGCGGAGGCU
rnacentral:misc_RNA from 1 species